rnacentral:lncRNA from 1 species
CAGCACCCUUCAUAUGAAAAUGACCUUUCAAUGCAUUUCAUUUCUUAGUCAGAAGUAGUUUGCGAUAGGUCUUCACAUGUGUAAUCUUUUAAAAUAAGGAUGACUCGUUCGAGAAGUAGACGGUACACCAAAAGGUUGAGUAGUGUCCAGAACUGUCUAAUACUGCUUAGCGAACAUGCUUGAAGAAAUAGUAUCGAGAUGGAAUUUAUGCAUCUUUGUAUUGGAUGGAAAGGUAGAUGGAGAAGAAGUGAGAGGGCCAGUGAAAGGUUUCAAAAAGCUUCUGAUUUUGCUCUUUACAACUUGACUUGAUCAUGACAGGUUUUGUUUAGCAUUUGCCUAUAAUUAUAGCUCGGUGUUCAAACCAAAUCUGCAUUUAAAUAUAUACUACAAGUAGCAUCCUCCAUAAGAUGCACUAUUCGACAGCGAAUCCUUUUUAAUUGAGAAGAAUGAUGCAGUUAGCUGCCAA